rnacentral:misc_RNA from 1 species
UGAGAGGAAUUCAUAGUUCUCCUGUAUGUCAAAAAUGAGAAAGCAUUUUCCAAAAUCCUUAAUGCAAAACCUUGCGGAAUGAAAUGACCAAAAAGAUCAGGUCACUGUCAAUUUGAAACUGGUAAAUGUAAAGCAUAUUACUCUUACUGGUAAUCCAUCACAAGUUCUCAAUCAAUUUGACAAUCUUAGAAGUGAAGGCUUUA